UACGGGGGGAGCAAGCGUUGUUCGGAUUUACUGGGCGUAAAGGGCGCGUAGGCGGCCUCCGCAAGUCAGUUGUGAAAUCUCCGAGCUUAACUCGGAAAGGUCAACUGAUACUGCGGGGCUAGAGUGCGGAAGGGGCAACUGGAAUUCUUGGUGUAGCGGUGAAAUGCGCAGAUAUCAGGAGGAACACCGGUGGCGAAGGCGGGUCUCUGGGCCGAUAUCGACGCUGAGGAGCGAAAGCGUGGGGAGCGAACAGG
rnacentral:rRNA from 1 species